CGCUCAUCUUUGUUAUUAAAUCCUGAUCUUACUUCAAUGAUUCCAAAGGGGUGCUUGGCAGUUUAUAUUGGGGAGAGGCAAAGAAGCCGAUUUGUGGUUCCCAUUUCGUACCUGAAUGAGCCUGCCUUUCAAGAAUAGUUAAGUCAAGCCGAGGAAGAAUUUGGAUUCAAUCAUCCGGAAGGAGGUCUUACAAUUCCUUGCUCAGAGGACACAUUCAAUGAAAUCACUUCGCGCCUGAACAAUUUAUAUACUUGUAGAUAGUAUAGCACCUCCGAUCUCAUUUGAUGAGUUUCUGAGUGUAAAUUGCAGAACAUAUAGGAUUUAUAUAUAAUUUUUUGUAGGUAAAGCUUAAUUUGAUACUCGAUUUUUUUGAACAUAUUGACCAUCACAUAUAGUCAUAGAUACUUUUAUUUCUCUAAAGCAUAAUACUAAUUUGAUAAACUUUAUGCCUAAAACAAAUCACUGACACAUAAGGCCGCCAUUUUUAGCAAUUCCAAAUGGCUGCUUAUAUUGGGAACAUCCCAAACAAAGGAAAUUUGUAUUUACUGUUUCAUACCUUAAUUUUGCAAUUGUCUUGAUAAAUCAGCCUUGACAGAAGGGUGAUUUUUGCUAACUCUUAAUUAAAAUUUAUAUUUAUAAGCAGUUCUGACUAAUUUAUAAAUAUAUCUCAGGCAUAGUUUAACCUAUUUAAGUCAUUUAUUAUCACGAAUACUCCUUCUGCUCCUCAGCCUACAGUGGUUAUUAGUUAGCACUUUGUGUAUCAAUGUGUGCAAUGUUGUAGCUAACGCGUUAACUAUCGGGUCUGGGUAGUGCUUUCGCAAGAAUGAAACCUUUUGUUGUUGACCUACCCAAUCGAAAUCAUCAUAAGACUCGUGAUGAUCAACCUUCCGAAUAAGUUCCCAUCGUAUUCAGGCUUUUCAACAAAUUAAGUUAAAAUUUUGUAAUUUUCCUGCAAAGCCUUCUAAGAUCUAAUACAAAUUAAAAUAAAUACUGUACAUAAAAUUUUAUAAGAACUUGACAGAAACUACCCUAACAAUUUCACAUUCUGCCUCUCAAAUCAGAAAAUUUAAAUUUUAAGGUGUUUUUUGUUAACAGAUUAAGAUUUAUAUAAGUCUAAACAAAUCAAUGUGUGUUUUAAAAAAUAAAAAGACUUUUGUGCAUUCCCUCUAGCCGCCUCCUCCAUCUUUUCAUUCCCGACGGGGCUUCCAUCGGUUUUCCGGUGGAAAGCCCCAAAUCUUUCCGUUUGAUUGCUAGUUCUUUGAUUGUUUUUGCUUUUCAUUGAUUUUCUUAAUAAAUCUCCUUCUUUAAGGGGGAAAAUUUCUUAGAUCUAUAUCACCGAACUUUUGAUUUUCGUUCUUAUUCGCUUCCAGAAGGCUUUUUGGAUUUGUGGGUGGAUCGAUUAUCUCUACGUGUCGUGGUGCAGAUCUAAUUGCUUUAGUUUUUAGUUGGAUUUUCUCUAGUUUGUUUGGAUUAUAGUUUGAUUUCUCUCCCUGGUGAGAGUGUGUGAUUUUUCUCUCCUCUUUUGUGAGAGUUGGUUUGGAUUCAUCGAUAAAAGCCUUCGAGAAGUGCAUUUGUGGUUGAUAGCUCAAACGGAGUUUUUGAAAAAGAUAAUGAACACAGAGCAAGGAUCUAUACAUGUACCAUCGUCAAUUUCAACAUCGCUUAUUUGUCUCAUCUUGACUAUGAAGACAGGCAUGUUAAUAUUUUCUAUGUUUGUUCGACUCGAUCAUUCUUGUAGAUGCCGUAUGGCUAUUAUUUAAUGAAUUAUUUCCUUUUCUUCAAAAAAAAAAAAAAGAUUUAUAUAAGUCUCAGUCUUAUAUAAAAUGUCUGGACUAGUUCAAAAAAUUUGUAAAGUAUCUAAGAACAUAUCACUAUGUAUGUAUCUGUACACAUAUAUAUAAACUCUCAUAAUCUGUUCAAGAGAUCAAUGAAGGUGUCUUCUUUGCAUGGUAUUGUGAGGCCGCCUUCUGGAUGACUAAACCCAAAUUCUUCCUCAGCUUGACUUAACAGGUCUUGAAACGUAGGCUCAUCUAAGUAUGAGAUCGGAACCACAAAUCUUCUUCUCUGGUUCUCCCCAACAUAAACUGCCAUGCAUCCCUUAGGGACAUUUGUACUACGAUCAAGAUAUGUGGAGGAGGAUUGGCGGUUUAGAAUAUGCUUGAGACUAGUGAUACGAGGAACACGGAUACCCAUGAUGCUAACAAAAAAUUUGUAGUAUUCAGGAUAAACUCUGCUGAUAUUGAAAUACAAGGACUUUUGCAGAUGGAAGGCUUAGACACUUGAAUACAAUUGAUUAUGUGAUGAAUUUGGUUGAGUUUGUGAUAGCGGUUUUAUAGAGCUCGGAAGUAUUGAACAGUUGAUUGAAAUGCAGAUUGAGUGGCACAGAUGCAUUAGGCAUUAGCACAUGCUAUUCUCUUUCAAUGGCCACAUAUGUUUAAGACUAAUGGUAAGACUUAAAUGUCUGUUAAGAGACAUCAUGUCCUACUACUUUUGCUCAACUAAUCUGAACCUGAUAUCUUCUUAUUCAACCAUAUGUUUGAUGCUUAUAGCAUAGCUAAGAGAGUAUAUAAGCCUAAAAUACACUUAUAUGAACGCCAUACAAAUAAUUUGGGUGGAAACUCUUGAGUUUUAGGUGGGACAGACAAGUUAGGUGCCCAUGUGAUGGUGUUCUCUUCCCCUGUGUUAGCUGUUUAUUUUGUUGAUUUGAUGAAUCAUUUAGUAGAAAACAGUGGCUGCUGGGGCUUAAUCAAGCAGACGCAGUAAGGUUGAUGUCUCGCAACACACAGAAAUCAAAUAUUCUUGGUCUUAUAUACUUGUGCUAGUGUCUACUGCUUCUUCACCACUCGGAUAAUAUUUCUAAUAAAUUGUUUAAGUAGUUCUAUGUUCUAUAUAUACUUAUAUUUAAGCAUUAGUAGAAUUCAUCACAAACUCAAUUGCUUCAAGCUUUAAACUUACAUUUCCUUGUGUUUCUGUUGUUUUCCUCAACUCUUCAGUAAAAGAUCCUUGAUAAGUAGGGGCAUGCUGUCUUGCAACAGACAGAGAAGUCAUUCAAUCAGUCAUAAAUAUAUGUAGCUAUUGAAAGAGAAAAUCAUGUGCUAGUGUCUAAUGCCUCUUCACCACUCAAGUUACAUUUUAAAGAACUGUUCAAUUUUCUAUAUAAAUACAUAGCUGGGCAUUAGUAAAAUUCAUCUCAAACUCAACUGUCUAAAGUCUUCACUAUACAAUUCCUUUUCUUUCUCCAUAUUCUCUAAUUGAUCUAAUAGUAUUAUGGGUAUUCGUAUGCCUCGUGUUACCAAUCUCAAGAAUAUCCUAAACCCGUCUUCUUUCUUGAUAAGUCCUGAUUAUACUUCAACAGUUCCGAAGGGUUGCUUGGCAGUAUAUAUUGGGGAGAAGCAAAGAAGACGAUUUGUGGUCCCCGUUUCAUACCUGAAUAAUCCUGCCUUCCAGGACUUGUUAAAUCAAGCUGAGGAAGAAUUUGGGUUCAGCCAACCAGAAGGCGGCCUCACUAUUCCCUGCUCAGUGGAAACAUUCAUCCACCUUACUUCGAGCCUAGAUAGAAUAUAGUCAGAAAACAUUUAUGUACAGGUAGAUAGUACAGCAUUAAAAUGUAAUUAGUAGAAAGGAGAAUUUUAUAGAUUUUGUUGGCAACGGAUAAUUUGAAACUCACCAUUUUGUUGAAUUUAACAUUACCAAAAUUUAUUGAUCAUAGUUUCUACUUAUAAAUUUAGAUAUAAAAAGAGACCAUGCAACUAUUAAACUGAUGGAGAGAAAUUAUUACACAGCACACGGAUUUCCUUUAUGAAUCUUAAGUAUCCAAGAAGAUAUAAAAAGGCCAGAAUCUGAAAAACUAACUCCAUCUGACUUCGCAUAGAAAAGAAGAUGUUACAUGUGGAAACUCCCAUAUCUUCAAGCAGUCUAAUCAUCCAGGUACUUCAGCGGCAGCAAGAGCAGUUCCUUAGAUUUUAGGCAUCUAGGAAAUUUUUUCUGAUUACAAUGAGACAGCAGUUUUUCUUGUGUCUUGGCAACCUGGUGCAUGUAAUGAAAGAUGAUUUAAACUGUGAAUAUCGUCUGGUCAGAGUUGGAAAGUUAAACUGUGAACCUAUAGAUGAUGUUCUUGAAAAUACAGCAAAUUUUAUAUAAAAUGAUUGUUGAAUGCAGACAGGUUUACAUAUUAUCCUUUAGAUACUUAAAUGAAAAACAAAUGGAAUGACACAUGAAGACUACAAAAAAACCUGCACAACUGAAAUUGGAGGGUUGAGUUUGUCAACAAUUAGAGUGAUCUCGGUAACUCCAGGAUAGCAAUAUAUAUGAAUAAAUAGAUUUGACUAAACAAAAGAAAUUCUUCACUGAUGAUUUCUAAAAAACAUAUUUCUGCGUAAUGAGAUGGUUACUCUAAUCUUCCCUAGGUCAUCAAAUGGAAGUGGACUGACUACUAACAAUUCGGCUGGGUACUAACAUAGUACCCAGCCGAAUUGUUAGUACCAGAUAAUAGCUAUUUGUUUCUUAUAUUUGCGCAAGACUAAAGUGAGGUUAACAGAUGUAUUAUACAUGGAAAAGCCACUUCAGACUACAAAGACCUGGAAAUUUCUCUUCUCUUGAACACUUACAUUUGUGAUUGGAACCAAUAAUGUAUAAAACUGCUAAUCUGUAUUUAUAAUAAAAACUACUUAUAGAGAUAUAUAAUGACUACAUAAUGAUUGCAGAGAUCAAAUCUAUGUAGAAAUUGAUGUAAUCAAAUUACAAAGUAUCAGCUAAUGCUCUCCCUAAAAGAUUUAUAUGAGAGUCAUAUAUAAAAUUUCUGGACUAGUUUACAAAAUUUGUACACUAUCUAACAACAUAUAUAUAAACUCUCAUAAUCUGUUCAAGAGAUCAAGGAAGGUGUCUUCUUUGCAUGGAAUUGUGAGGCCGCCUUCUGGAUGACUAAACCCAAAUUCUUCCUCAGCCUGACUUAACAGGUCUUGGAACGUAGGCUCGUUUAAGUAAGAGAUCGGAACUACAAAUCUUCUUCUUUGGUUCUCCCCAACAUAAACUGCAACACAUCCCUUUGGGACAUUUGUACUACAAUCAAGGUUUUUUAAAGAAAAUUGUCUGUUGAGAAUUUGCUUUAGAUUAGUGAUAUGAGGCACACGAAUACCCAUGAUGCCUUAAGAAAAAUCGAAAUUUCAACGUAUAAUCUCCGGGGAUAUAGAAAAUACAAGAACUUAUGCAGAUGGUAGGCUUAGACCCUUAAUUCCACAAGAUUUUGUGAUGAAUUUGGUUGAGGAGAUUUUGUGAUGAAUUUGGUUGAGGAUAUCACAGUUUUUAUAUGGAAAUAACAAGUAAUGAGCGGUUGAUCAAAAUACAGAUCGAGUGGCACAGAUGCAUCAGGCAAUAGCACAUGGUAUUCUCUUUCAAAGGCCACACAUAUUUAAGAGUAAUGCUAGGACUUGAAUGUCUGCUGAGAGACAUCAUGUCCUAUGGCUUCUGUUCAACAAAUCUGGACCUGAUAUGUUUUAUAUUUUAAGCUUAUGGUGGAGAUAAGACAGAAUAUAACGUAAUAUAUACGGAUAUGAACAACAUACAAAUAAUUUGGCUGGAAAGUUCUCACUUUGCCUGGCAAGCAAGGUAGCAAAUUUUAAGUUUUUAGUUUUUGUGGUCAGUAGUCUGAGUGGGACAAACAAGUUAGGUACUCAUGUGAUAGUGUUUUCAUUCACCUCAUAUAAGUUUCUGUAAGAAACAGAUUAUCAGACUGGUAGGAAACACCUCAUAUAAGUUUCAUGUGAUGGUGUUUUCUUGACCUAUCUCAGCUGUUUCUUUUGUUGAAUUGAUGGUCUAGCUGCAUUAUGUCAAAAUAUCAACUUGAAGCUGGAAGAAACACUGUCACAUGAACACUUAUUAUUUCAAACCCAAAUCAUGUGCUAGUGUCUAAAGCCUACUCACUGCUCAAUGUACAAUUUGAUGAGAUGUUCUACACAACUUCCUCAUUGUUCUAUAUAAAUACAUAAUUAAGCGACUAACAUUCAUCACAAACUCACUGGUCUAAAGUCUUUUCCUUAAAACUGUACAAGUCCUAGUGUUUCUUCAGUUUUCUGAACUCUUCUCUGAAAGAUCUAUAGUGUCAUGGGUAUCCGUAUGCUUCGUAUUACUAAUCUCAAACAAAUCCUUAACCUCUCAUCUUUCUUAUUAAAUCCUGAUCUUACUUCAACGAUUCCAAAGGGGUGCUUGGCAGUUUAUAUUGGGGAGAGGCAAAGAAGCCGAUAUGUGGUACCUAUUUCAUACCUGAAUGAGCCUGCCUUUCAAGAUUUGUUAAGUCAAGCCGAGGAAGAAUUUGGUUUCAAUCAUCCGGAAGGAGGUCUUACAAUUCCUUGCUCAGUGGACACAUUCAAUGAAAUCACUUCGCGCCUGAACAAUUUAUAUACUUGUAGAUAGUACAGCACCUCCGACCUCAUUUAUUGAGUUUCUGAGUGUAAAUUGUAGAACAAAUAGAUUUUUCAUAUAUGAUUUGUAGGGAANGAAAUUUCAACGUAUAAUCUCCGGGGAUAUAGAAAAUACAAGAACUUAUGCAGAUGGUAGGCUUAGACCCUUAAUUCCACAAGAUUUUGUGAUGAAUUUGGUUGAGGAGAUUUUGUGAUGAAUUUGGUUGAGGAUAUCACAGUUUUUAUAUGGAAAUAACAAGUAAU
rnacentral:lncRNA from 1 species